rnacentral:rRNA from 1 species
UUGACCUCGAAUCAGGUAGGAAUACCCGCUGAACUUAAGCAUAUCAAUAAGCGGAAGGAAGG